GACGAACGCUGGCGGCGUGCUUAACACAUGCAAGUCGAGCGGUAAGGCCCUUUCGGGGGUACACGAGCGGCGAACGGGUGAGUAACGCGUGGGUGACCUGCCCUCAGCUCUGGGAUAAGCCUGGGAAACCGGGUCUAAUACCGGAUAUGACUCCAUGACGCAUGUUGUGGGGUGGAAAGCCUUGUGCGGCUGAGGAUGGGCCCGCGGCCUAUCAGCUUGUUGGUGGGGUGAUGGCCUACCAAGGCGACGACGGGUAGCCGGCCUGAGAGGGCGACCGGCCACACUGGGACUGAGACACGGCCCAGACUCCUACGGGAGGCAGCAGUGGGGAAUCUUGCGCAAUGGGCGAAAGCCUGACGCAGCGACGCCGCGUGAGGGAUGACGGCCU
rnacentral:rRNA from 1 species